rnacentral:rRNA from 1 species
AGAGUUUGAUCCUGGCUCAGGAUAAACGCUGGCGGCGUGCCUAACACAUGCAAGUCGAACGCUUUCGGGCAACCGAGAGAGUGGCGGACGGGUGAGGAACACGUGGGUUAUCUACCUUUCGGUGAGGAAUACCGGCGAGAAAUCGCCGACAAAACCGCAUAAGAUCGCGAGAUGAAAGUCGUAAGACGCCGAAAGAUGAG